rnacentral:tRNA from 1 species
GGGCAUGUAACUUAGAGGAUAGAGUGCCAGAUUCCGGUUCUGAUGGUCGGGGGUUCGAGUCCCUCCAUGCCCG